rnacentral:lncRNA from 1 species
AUGGUCAUAGACACGAAACAGUCACUUUCUUCCUUGUAUCGGUAUUUUAAUGUUCCUAAAGAGUUUUCUGCCCAAUUGUCAUCAAUGAAGUUGCCGCACCUUAAUUCUGAAAAUUUACCAGGCUGGACAGCUCUUGCUUUGAGUCGUAAAUAUGCGAAGAAGCUUGCAGGUGCUAAUGUAGAAGAUGCAGCUUUUGUCAGGCAGUGGGUUGAGUACGCUGUCACCCAGGGAGUGCAUGCUGAUGAUUCAAGUAGUUCCAGUCAAGUCUUGAAGGAAGUAAAUAAAGCUUUAGCAGACCAAUCAUACAUCGCAGCCAAUUAUUUGACAGUAGCAGACCUAUUUUUGUUCUACGUUUUACAUUCUAUUGUGGUGAGUAGUUCUUUUAUUUCUGUCCUAUGUAAAUAUCAAAAAUUGACCCAUCCAGUGAAUAAAAAAUCAUGUUGUUCAAGUUCCUCAACAUGUUGGCCUAGUCCGUUCAUAUGCAUCCUUUUUUUUUCUCAAGUCCUUUUUGAAAACAAGCCACAAUUCCAUAUGUACGAAACCUGGAAUAAAAAAAGAGAGAUCUUAUUGAUUGGAGGAGGAAUACUCACUUUUUGUUCAAUGCAAUCCAUUGGAGGAAAGAGAAGAAAAACUACCUCUUUCGAGGGACUUUUAAGAUUUUGAAUUUAGAGGUCCUUCUCUUAAUCCUCUCUUUUUAUCAAGCUGAGAUUCUCUGUUCUUGCCGAAUUCUCCUCAACUAAGAUUCUUGCCAGCAAAGCAGUGCUUUGCCCAAAAGAUAUGAAAGGCUGGGGAAAGUAAAAAUAUUAGUCUUUCGUAAGUCUUAGUGAAGAUCGUAUAAGUUGUCAAGCUUGUACGCUGUAAACUUGACGAAAGUAAAAUUUUAAAUGAAAUGAAUAGUGGAGGUAUUUGAGGACCUUUCCAACUAAACAGCAUGUGCCCAUGUCAACGUCCCUAAGAUCGUGCAACUCCUCCUUUUUUUACAACCAUCCGAAAUCACCCACAUUGUACAUUUCUCUGCCAAAAUAUUCAGAACAAUAGAAAGAUAAUUUGAGACAAAUUUCAGAACAGAGCUUACAGAUCUCCCCUGACUGAACAGUUGAACGUAUGCACAAUCUUAGCAAUAUUGACAUGGGUAUAUAAUGUUUGAUCGGGAAGGUCUUCACAUGUAUGUAGAAAAAAAGUAACAAGAGAACUUACUAUAGCCGAUCCUACAGCAAAAAUGAGCAUUAGAGGUCUCAUUGGGCACAUCAUUUUUUCAAAUUUACAGAUUAUCGAAAAAUAGCACAGUAAGUUCAGAACAAAGAGAUAAGCAAAAUAAUUUGAGCAAACAAACUUAUUUUGCUAAAACUGAAAAAAACUUGACAAAACUUAAUUGCAUCACUUGUCAUUUUCUGUUGAAUCAUCUAUUUAAAUAUCCAAUUGUCUAUUCUAUUUAAUCGUUCUCUGGAUAUGAGAGAUUAUUUUCUGAUAAAACGGUUACGUAAUGGGUCAUGAAAAAGUCAAAGAAUGAGAGCCACCAGUAGUUUUAAAGAAAACAAGAAUCAACUGUUUUUGUCAUCUUGUGAUAAAUUGAUAAUUUCAAGCAGGAACUGUCAACCCUAUUCUCCAUUACAUAUUCAUCUCAAAAUCUACUGCUGAUGUUCUCACUUUUGAAGAAUGACUCCUGGCCAAAUAUGUGCUCUGCACGAUCUGUGAAGCGUGAGAUCAAGCGUUUUUUCUGCUUUGCUAAGGAAACACGCAUGAACGUUCGUGAACUGCCAAAUUUCUCCAGAUAAAGGGUGUAUUUUUAGGAGAAGUUUGAAAAUUUUUCCUUGAAAUUUUCAGAUUUUUUAGAUGAAAUUUUGAAAAAAUUAUCUGAAAAGUUUGACGAAAAAUAUCUACAAUUUUCCCAGAAAAUUCGUUUUCUAUUGAAGUAAAUAUUGCAAUGUCUGAAGCGGCGUCUUAUACGGCGUUUUUCCUUAGCACGGCAGUCCUGCUAACAUGGUGUGUCCCACUAUAAACAAUUCUCUCACGAUUAGACUCGGUAAUCUUGUAUCUAUUUGUGGCGAAAUACCCCUCAUUUUUGGUUGAUCUAUCGAGUUAGCUAAUUAACGCGGGCUGCCAGCUUUUUUGAGCUCUGGGGUUAUUACUUUCCCAACAUUACCACACCUACUUUCACCUCCUCUGAAUCACUUGUUGUCUACUUUCCAGGCGUCAAUGACUUUUUACGAGAAGGAAAAAUAUAUUAAUUAUCUCGAUGGUUCGAUCAUCUACAGCUGGAGCCGAACAUUCGACAAACAAGGCCUCUAGUCACAUUUAGCCGAACUCUUUUAUACUCUUAAGAUCAGGUAAUGAUGCUGUAUUUCUAUGCAAUAAAUCUUCAUUUUAAAAAAGAGAUAAAAUUUUGCAUACUCACUUGCACUAUUUAAUAAUUUAAUAAUGGGACGCGUUUCGGGGUCAAGAUGGCCCCAUCAUCAGCUUACAGGGAACUUUAAAUGUUCGCUGCCAACUGAUAAUGGGGCCAUCUCGACCAGGAAACGCGCCCCUUUAAAUUGUUAAAUAGCGCAAGUGAGUAAGCAAAAUUUUAUCUCUUUAUUACAAUAUUGUCUUGUGACUGUCCCCUACAAAAGUUUCCAAAUAAUCUUCAUGUCAUGCACACUGACUGCAUACUGCACCAAUGAUAGAUCAGAUCUUCGUACUCUACUAAGAAUAUUCAUGAAAUUUUCCUUCUCGUGGUUUUUCAAAUUAACUUAUCUUCAUUAUCCGGUAUUUUACUUAUUGCCAAUAAAUAUAAGGCUGGAAAAGUGAGUAAACUUACUUUGAAAAAACCUCAAGAUUUAACACCAAUUCAAUGUGGAUCACUUUACUGAAAAUUGUAUCUCUGUGUACUUAGAUCCCUUUAACCGACGAUGGUUACAUUUAAUUGAACUUUAUUUUGCAAUUAGGAACUACAUUACCUGACGCCUCUGUAAAAGCACCUAUCUGCAUAUAGACACUAUAGGCAUACACGUUGUUUCUGAAGUGAGCUGGAAAUGGUAGUUUCUAAAUGCAAAAUGUAGUAAAAUUCUUUAGCUAUAAUUUAAGGGUAUUAAUUUGUUUUUCAUCUCAUUAAUAAUUGUCUUUUUUUCAUGGUUCAGAUUCUCUGCGAAACUCUACGAGGUAAUGUCAUGAAUUCCACGCAGUGCGCUGUCAAAUCAAUUUUCUUCUGGAAUCCCUCUCAAACAUAAUAGGAGCCACCAUCAUGAGAUUUUCUUCCUUUGUGUAAAGUAAUUUUACUGGGUGUUCCCUUCAAAUCAUUUUUAAGGAUUUGAUUUUUUCAUUUUAUUUAUUUAUAUGUAUAUAUUCAUUUUUUAGUGUAAAAAUAAAUCUUUUCUUUAAUAUCUUGUCGCAGAUUUGUGG